AAGCACGGCUUCGCAGUUCGCACACGGGGAGCUUGCUCCCAGAGAUGCUGCGGGGAAAGUCCCCGUGCCUUGGUGCAGAGAGUGCGAGUGGGAGACCGCAGGGUUCGUGCCAGACCUCCAGUGGUGAUGCUUCUCGCGGAGCCUUGGUGGCAGGCUCGGGCCUUUCGCAGCAGCACAGACAUGCCGUGAGCGCGGAUGAUUGGAGCGCCAACAGAACGGGAUGGAUGCUCAUUUGGAUCUCGCCAACAGAACGGGGCUCACUCUCC
rnacentral:RNase_MRP_RNA from 14 species